UUGUGGUGUUUUUGAACUCGAGUUUUUUGUUUAUUCAACUUCAGUUUUUGGCGUGUUUGGACUUGAGUUUGUGUUUUUUUUUAACUUGAGGUUGUGGUUUUUUGAACUUCAGUUUGUGAAAAUUGUUAAACCUGAGGAUUGGGUGGUGGUUGAACUUAAAACUUUGCCAUUUGUUGAACUUUAGUUUGUGGUGUUUGUUGAACUCCAGCUUGUGUCGUGUUUGAACUUGAGGCUGUGGUAUUUUUGAACUUGAGUUUGUGUGUUUUUUGAACUUGAGUUUGUGGCGUGUUUGAACUUGAGAUUGUGGCGUGUUUGAACUUGAGUUUGUGUGUUUUUUGAACUUGAGUUUGUGGUGUGUUUGAACUUGGUUGGUUGAACUUAAAAUCUUUUACGUAUGUUGAACUUGAGUUUUUGGUGUUCGUUAAACUUGAGUUUGUUCCGUGUUUGAACUUGAGUUUGUGGUGUUUUUGAACUUGAGGUUGUUGCAAUUGUGAAACUUGAGAUUUGGGUCUUGGUUAAACUUAAAAUUUUGACAUUUGUUGAACUUGAGUUUGUGGUGUUUUUGAACUUGAGGUUGUGGUGUUUUUGAACUUGAGUUUUUGGCGUGUUUGAACUUGAGGUUGUUGCAAUUGUUAAAUUGAGAUUCGGGUGUUGGUUGAACUUCAACUUUGAGGUUUGUUGAACUUGAGUCUGUGCUGUUUGUUGAACUUUGGUUUGUGUCGUUUUUGAACUCGAGUUUGUGGUGUUUUUGAACUUGAGUUUGUGGUGUUUGUUUAACUUAAGUUUGUGUCGUGUUUUAACUAGAGGUUGUGGUGUUUUUUUUAACUUGAGGUUGUGGAAAUUGUUAAACUUGAGAAUCGGGUGUUGGUUCAACUUGGGUUUCUGUUGUUUUUGAACUUGAGGUUGUGGAAAUUGUUAAACUUCAGAAUCAGGUGUUGGUUGAACUUGAGUUUGUGUGUUUGUUGAACUUGAGUUUUUGUCGUGGUUGAACUUCAGUUUGUGGUGUUUUUGAACUUGAGUUUGUGUGUUUGUUGAUCUUGAGUUUGUGGUGUUUUUGAACUUGAGUUUGUUUUUUUGAACUUGAGAUUGUGGAAAUUGUUAAACUUGAGAUUUGGGUGUUGGUUGAACUUAAAAGUUUGACAUUUGUUGAACUUGAGUUUGUGUCUUGUUUGAACUUAAAGGUUGUGGUGUUUUUGAACUUGAAGUUGCUUGUUUGUUUAACUUGAGUUUGUGUGUUUUUUGAACCUGAGUUUAAUGUUUCUGAACUUGAGGUUGUGGCAAUUGUUGAACUUGAGUCUGUGGUUUUUAGUGAACUUUAGUUGGUUGCAAUUGUUGAACAUGAGUUUGUGCAGUUUUUAUGAACUUGAGUUUGAUGAAGUUUAUCCCAAUCUGACCUCUCCAACCAUAUCCUGCUUUCUUGCCUCAAGUAACCUCCAAACAUCCAAAACAUAUCUGUUAUUUUUCCCCCACAUGUUUGAACUUGAGUUUGUGGUCUUUUUGAACUUGAGUUUGUGGUGUUAUUGAACUUGAGGUUAUGGAAAUUGUGAAACCUAAGAAUUGGGUAUUAGUUGAACUUGAGUUUGUGGUGUUUUUGAACUUGAGGUUAUGGAAAUUGUUAAACCUCAGAAUUGGGUAUUGGUUCAACUUGAGUUUGUGUAGUGUUUGAACUUCAGUUUGUGGUGUUUUUUGAGCUUGAGGUUGUGGUUUUUGUUGAACUUGAUAUUGUGUCGUGUUUGAACUUGAGGUUGUGGUGUUUUUGAACUUGAGUUUUUUUGUUUAUUCAACUUCAGUUUUUGGCGUGUUUGAACUUGAGUUUGUGGUUUUUUUAACUUGAGGUUGUGGUUUUUUGAACUUCAGUUUUUGGAAAUUGUUAAACUUGAGGAUUGGGUGUUGGUUGAACUUGAGUUUGUGUGUUUGUUGAACUUUAGUUUGUGGUGUGUUUGAACUUGGUUGGUUGAACUUAAAUUUUUUUACAUAUGUUGAACUUGAGUUUUUGGUGUUCGUCAAACUUGAGUUUGUUUCGUGUUUGAACUUGAGUUUGUGGUGUUUUUGAACUUGAGUUUGUUUGUUUGUUGAUCUUGAGUUUGUGGUGUUUUUGAACUUGAGUUUGUUUUUUUGAACUUGAGAUUGUGGAAAUUGUUAAACUUGAGAUUUGGGUGUUGGUUGAACUUAAAAAUUUGACAUUUGUUGAACUUGAGUUUGUGGUUUUUGUUGAACUUGAUAUUGUGUCGUGUUUGAACUUGAGGUUGUGGUGUUUUUGAACUCGAGUUUUUUGUUUAUUCAACUUCAGUUUUUGGCGUGUUUGGACUUGAGUUUGUGUUUUUUUUAACUUGAGGUUGUGGUUUUUUGAACUUCAGUUUGUGAAAAUUGUUAAACCUGAGGAUUGGGUGGUGGUUGAACUUAAAACUUUGCCAUUUGUUGAACUUUAGUUUGUGGUGUUUGUUGAACUCCAGCUUGUGUCGUGUUUGAACUUGAGGCUGUGGUAUUUUUGAACUUGAGUUUGUGUGUUUUUUGAACUUGAGUUUGUGGCGUGUUUGAACUUGAGAUUGUGGCGUGUUUGAACUUGAGUUUGUGUGUUUGUUGAACUUGAGUUUGUGGUGUGUUUGAACUUGGUUGGUUGAACUUAAAAUCUUUUACGUAUGUUGAACUUGAGUUUUUGGUGUUCGUUAAACUUGAGUUUGUUCCGUGUUUGAACUUGAGUUUGUGGUGUUUUUGAACUUGAGGUUGUUGCAAUUGUGAAACUUGAGAUUUGGGUCUUGGUUAAACUUAAAAUUUUGACAUUUGUUGAACUUGAGUUUGUGGUGUUUUUGAACUUGAGGUUGUGGUGUUUUUGAACUUGAGUUUUUGGCGUGUUUGAACUUGAGGUUGUUGCAAUUGUUAAAUUGAGAUUCGGGUGUUGGUUGAACUUCAACUUUGAGGUUUGUUGAACUUGAGUCUGUGCUGUUUGUUGAACUUUAGUUUGUGUCGUUUUUGAACU
rnacentral:lncRNA from 1 species